GACGAACGCUGGCGGCGUGCCUAAUACAUGCAAGUAGAACGCUGAAGAGAGGAGCUUGCUCUUCUUGGAUGAGUUGCGAACGGGUGAGUAACGCGUAGGUAACCUGCCUGGUAGCGGGGGAUAACUAUUGGAAACGAUAGCUAAUACCGCAUAAAAUGGAUUAUCGCAUGAUAAUCCAUUGAAAGGUGCAAAUGCAUCACUACCAGAUGGACCUGCGUUGUAUUAGCUAGUUGGUGGGGUAACGGUUCACCAAGGCGACGAUACAUAGCCGACCUGAGAGGGUGAUCGGCCACACUGGGACUGAGACACGGCCCAGACUCCUACGGGAGGCAGCAGUAGGGAAUCUUCGGCAAUGGACGGAAGUCUGACCGAGCAACGCCGCGUGAGUGAAGAAGGGUUUCGGAUCGUAAAGCUCUGUUGUAAGAGAAGAACGAGUGUGAGAGUGGAAAGUUCACACUGUGACGGUAUCUUACCAGAAAGGGACGGCUAACUACGUG
rnacentral:rRNA from 1 species